UCUUUUCAUUGUGUGCCAGCCGCCGCGGUAAUACGGAAGGUCCGGGCGUUAUCCGGAUUUAUUGGGUUUAAAGGGAGCGUAGGCCGGAGAUUAAGCGUGUUGUGAAAUGUAGAUGCUCAACAUCUGCACUGCAGCGCGAACUGGUUUCCUUGAGUACGCACAAAGUGGGCGGAAUUCGUGGUGUAGCGGUGAAAUGCUUAGAUAUCACGAAGAACUCCGAUUGCGAAGGCAGCUCACUGGAGCGCAACUGACGCUGAAGCUCGAAAGUGCGGGUAUCGAACAGG
rnacentral:rRNA from 1 species